UACGUAGGUGGCAAGCGUUGUCCGGAAUUACUGGGUGUAAAGCGCGUGUAGGCGGCAGACCAAGUCGGCGGUGAAAGCGCCCGGCUCAACUGGGCGAGGUCCGUGGAAACUGGUCAGCUGGAGGACGGUAGAGGCGAGUGGAAUUCCCGGUGUAGUGGUGAAAUGCGUAGAGAUCGGGAGGAACACCCUGUGGCGGAAGGCGGCUCGCU
rnacentral:rRNA from 1 species